UGCAGUCGANCGGGCUUAAAGAGCUUGCUCUUUAAGUUAGUGGCGAACGGGUGAGUAAUAUAUCGGAACGUAUCCAAUAAUGGGGGAUAACUAAUCGAAAGGUUGGCUAAUACCGCAUACGCCCUACGGGGGAAAGCUAGGGAUCGCAAGACCUGGCGUUAAUGGAGCGGCCGAUAUCUGAUUAGCUAGUUGGUGGGGUAAAGGCCCACCAAGGCGACGAUCAGUAGCUGGUCUGAGAGGACGACCAGCCACACUGGAACUGAGACACGGUCCAGACUCCUACGGGAGGCAGCAGUGGGGAAUUUUGGACAAUGGGCGCAAGCCUGAUCCAGCCAUUCCGCGUGAGUGAAGAAGGCCUUCGGGUUGUAAAGCUCUUUCGCAAGGGAAGAAAGAUUACUCUCUAACAUAGAGUGAUUAUGACGGUACCUUGAUAAGAAGCACCGGCUAACUACGUGCCAGCAGCCGCGGUAAUACGUAGGGUGCGAGCGUUAAUCGGAAUUACUGGGCGUAAAGCGUGCGCAGGCGGUUUUGUAAGUCAGAUGUGAAAUCCCCGAGCUCAACUUGGGAACUGCGUUUGAAACUACAAGACUAGAGUAGGUCAGAGGGGGGUAGAAUUCCACGUGUAGCAGUGAAAUGCGUAGAGAUGUGGAGGAAUACCAAUGGCGAAGGCAGCCCCCUGGGAUCAUACUGACGCUCAUGCACGAAAGCGUGGGGAGCAAACAGGAUUAGAUACCCUGGUAGUCCACGCCCUAAACGAUGUCAACUAGUUGUUGGUAGAGUAAAAUCUAUGAGUAACGCAGCUAACGCGUGAAGUUGACCGCCUGGGGAGUACGAUCGCAAGAUUAAAACUCAAAUGAAUUGACGGGGGCCCGCACAAGCGGUGGAUUAUGUGGAUUAAUUCGAUGCAACGCGAAAAACCUUACCUGNNNUUGACAUGUACCGAAUUUACCAGAGAUGGUUUAGUGCUCGAAAGANAACGGNANCACNNNGCUGCAUGGCUGUCGUCAGCUCG
rnacentral:rRNA from 1 species